AGAGUUUGAUCCUGGCUCAGAAUGAACGUUGGCGGCGUGGAUUAGGCAUGCAAGUCGGACGCUCCUUGGGGGCGUGGCGAACGGGUGAGUAAGGCGACGGCAACCAACCCCGCGGAGGGGGACAGCCACGGGAAACCGUGGGUAAUUCCCCAUGACGUCGGUUUCGGGCCUCCGGGACCGACCAAAGGUGUGAGUCCGCCGCGGGACGGACCGUCGUGGUAUCAGGUGGUUGGUGGGGUAACGGCCCACCAAGCCGACGACGCCUAGCGGGCGUGCGAGCGUGGCCCGCCACACUGGGACUGAGACACUGCCCAGACACCUACGGGUGGCUGCAGUCGAGAAUCUUCGGCAAUGGCCGCCAGGCCGACCGAGCGACGCCGCGUGGGGGACGAAGGCCUUCGGGUUGUAAACCCCUGUCAGGGGGGAGCAAGGUGGCGUGAAGAGCGUCACUUGAGCGAUCCCCAGAGGAAGCACGGGCUAAGUUCGUGCCAGCAGCCGCGGUAAGACGAACCGUGCGAACGUUAUUCGGAAUCACUGGGCUUAAAGCGCGUGUAGGCGGGCCGCCGCGUCGACGCCUGAAAGGCCCCGGCUCAACCGGGGUUCGGGCCCGAUACGGGUGGCCUGGAGGGGCGUAUGGGGAGCUGGAACUUCCGGUGGAGCGGUGAUAUGCGUUGAGAUCGGAAGGAACGCCCGCGGCGAACGCGAGCUCCUGGACGCCUACUGACGCUGAAACGCGAGAGC
rnacentral:rRNA from 1 species